ensembl:snRNA RNU6-89P RNA, U6 small nuclear 89, pseudogene
UUACUUCAGCAGUACAUAUACUAAAAUUGGAACAAUACAGAGAUUGGCAUGGCCCCUACAUAAGGAUGACAAGCAAAUUCAUGAAGCAUUCCAUAUUUUU